rnacentral:rRNA from 1 species
CCAGACUCCUACGGGAGGCAGCAGUGGGGAAUAUUGCACAAUGGGGGGAACCCUGAUCCAGCGACGCCGCGUGAGUGAAGAAGUAUUUCGGUAUGUAAAGCUCUAUCAGCAGGGAAGAAAAUGACGGUACCUGACUAAGAAGCCCCGGCUAACUACGUGCCAGCAGCCGCGGUAAUACGUAGGGGGCAAGCGUUAUCCGGAUUUACUGGGUGUAAAGGGAGCGUAGACGGUGCAGCAAGUCUGAUGUGAAAGGUCGGGGCCCAACCCCGGGGCUGCAUUGGAAACUGGCAGGCUGGAGUGCCGGAGAGGCAGGCGGAAUUCCUAGUGUAGCGGUGAAAUGCGUAGAUAUUAGGAGGAACACCAGUGGCGAAGGCGGCCUGCUGGACGGUGACUGACGCUGAGGCUCGAAAGCGUGGGGAGCAAACAGGAUUAGAUACCCCGGUAAA